rnacentral:rRNA from 1 species
UGCCAGCAGCCGCGGUAACACGGGGGGCGCAAGCGUUAUUCGGAAUUAUUGGGCGUAAAGCGUGCGUAGGCGGUUCGGUAAGUCAGAAGUGAAAGCCCUCGGCUCAACCGGGGAAUUGCUUUUGAAACUGCCAGACUUGAGUAUUGGAGAGGUAAGCGGAAUUCCAGGUGUAGGAGUGAAAUCCGUAGAUAUCUGGAGGAACAUCAGUGGCGAAGGCGGCUUACUGGACAAUUACUGACGCUGAGGUACGAAAGCGAGGGGAGCAAACAGGAUUAGAUA